UGGGUUUCCAAAGCCUUUUAUAUCCAUUAUCUCAUUAGAAUCUCUGCGCAACCUGUGCCAGAAGUCGUGUAUUAUCCCCUCUAUAGAAAAGAGAGAAAUGAAGCUGAGAGAGGAAAAGGGACCACUUGAGGGAACCCUGGGGGAGGCCCCAAGGCCUCUUAUGAACAGCCCAAGGCCCCAACUGAGCCUAGAGAGCCCUUGGGAGGGGGCCCAAAGGUGAAGGGCUGCCCUACUGAAUUUGUUUUUUUGUUUUUGUUUUUUUUUUUUGGUACCAGGGAUUGAGCUCGGGUCCUUGUGCUUGCAAGGCAGGUGGUGGAACCACUGAGCUAAACCCCCGGCCCCCUACUGAAUUUGGAAAGCCCCGCCAGUCCUGGAAGCUACUUGUUUCCACGUGUCGCUGUGGGAGGAGGCAGCUAUGUCAACCCUGGCCCAAGAUGCACUGGGAAUUCGGGGAGGCACUGGCUGGGAGCAGGGCCGAGAGGCUGAGCAGACUCCACGCAGCGUGCAAACCUUCCAGGACAUUAGACGGACACUGGGGUUCCCCUACUGCCACCUGCUGCAUGUGGAGAGCUGUUGUUAUGGGCUCAGAAGUGUCCCUUGUCCCCUUGGUCACCCAUCCCAGUCUACCUGAGACACCCUGCCUGAACUAAGGCUUCUUCUCCAGGGAGUCCCAGAGACGAGUGCUACGGACUCUGGGGAAGGUUAGGUGUCACUCUCCCCUGAGCUCCUGGGUGGGUAGGUGCCAGGGACCUCAUUUCUGGGUGUGUGUGUGGGGGACUGGUGUGGAGACGCAGUGCUGGGCCACUGCAGGAAGAUCACACCAUUGCUGUCAUCCUGGAAGACGGUCAUGCAGUGGGGAGCAGGGCAGGGCUUCUUUUCCCUCAUGCAAUGGGGAGUUACAUCCAGUUGUGGGGUGGGACAAAGCUCUGGGCGUGGCACUCCAUGCGGGACCUCAGUUGGGUCCUACCUUUGCCUGCCUGGCCUGUGAAAUUCGGGUGCCAGUGUCUUCCUUGCCUGUCUCACAGGCCACACUUCACACAGGGCAGCACAGAUAGGUGGUGAGAAAGGGAAUCAGCUCAGCCCUUAGCUACUAUCCCAGUUCCAGCACUUUCAAGCUGUGUGAUCAUAGUCAAGUUACUCAACUUCUCUGUUUCUCAAAUAUUUCAUCUGUAACAUGGAGAUAAGGACUAGCAGUUGUGAGAAUUAAAUGGCUCUAGAAUUAAAUGGUUGGAACAUUUCCUAAUGCAUAAUAAAUGCUCAGCAAACAUUAGCUUUCGGUUGCAUUAUUGAUACCCUUUGUCUGGAAAUGGGGCCACCAUGUACAGUCCUUAUUCCUCUCAGUGGGACUCUGCAGAACUCACUAACCAUGGUCUGUGAAUUGUGCUGGAGAAAGCUUCUGGGGUUUUAUACAUCCAGAGACCUCUCCCACUCAACUGUUCAGUGACCCAGUCUCCUUUGC
rnacentral:lncRNA from 1 species